AAUCUGAGCUGAGCUGAGCUAAGUGAAGAUGAGCUGUUUUUGUCUGCCUCACUGGGCUGCAGCACCUCAGAUCAAAUGUGAAACCUGGGUGUCUGGCCAGUCCAGAGACAGCAUAACCAAAAGUGCAGCCAGAUAUCUUCAUUGAACCCUCCUCAUCAUCCGUAACCUCACUUUGGAAUAACGGCAUGUUCUUUAGCAGUAAAAAUGUGUUUUUCCCAAAUACGGCAGGAGGGAGGACAUGACAACGCUCCCAUGCACACAGCCAGGUCAAGAAAUGCUUUUCUGAAAUGACAGAAUUGAGUCCUGACCUCAACCCCAUCCAACAUCUUUGGAAUUAACUGGAAGGCAGACUGCGAGCCAGACCUUAUCAAGCCCAAAAUCUGCUGAGAUCAAAGUCUGAAACCAGCAGAGUGGUGGCUGAUAUAGCAGCACAUUAAUGCCCAUGGUUUUGGAAUGACAGACAUGUUCAUUGUAAUGUUUGGGUGUCUGCAUACUUUUGGCCAGUCCAGAGAUAGCAUAACCAAAAGUGCAGCCAGAUAUCUUCAUUGAACCCUCCUCAUCAUCCGUAACCUCACUUUGGAAUAACGGCAUGUUCUUUAGCAGUAAAAAUGUGUUUUUCCCAAAUACGGCAGGAGGGAGGACAUGACAACGCUCCCAUGCACACAGCCAGGUCAAGAAAUGCUUUUCUGAAAUGACAGAAUUGAGUCCUGACCUCAACCCCAUCCAACAUCUUUGGAAUUAACUGGAAGGCAGACUGCGAGCCAGACCUUAUCAAGCCCAAAAUCUGCUGAGAUCAAAGUCUGAAACCAGCAGAGUGGUGGCUGAUAUAGCAGCACAUUAAUGCCCAUGGUUUUGGAAUGACAGACAUGUUCAUUGUAAUGUUUGGGUGUCUGCAUACUUUUGGCCAGUCCAGAGAUAGCAUAACCAAAAGUGCAGCCAGAUAUCUUCAUUGAACCCUCCUCAUCAUCCGUAACCUCACUUUGGAAUAACGGCAUGUUCUUUAGCAGU